rnacentral:rRNA from 1 species
AGAGUUUGAUCCUGGCUCAGAACGAACGCUGGCGGCAGGCCUAAUACAUGCAAGUCGAGCGCAUCCCUCGGGAUGAGCGGCGGACGGGUGAGUAACGCGUGGGAAUAUGCCCUUCUCUAAGGAAUAGCCUCUGGAAACGGAGAGUAAUACCUUAUACGCCCUUCGGGGGAAAGAUUUAUCGGAGAAGGAUUAGCCCGCGUUAGAUUAGGUAGUUGGUGGGGUAAUGGCCUACCAAGCCUACGAUCUAUAGCUGGUUUGAGAGGAUGAUCAGCCACACUGGGACUGAGACACGGCCCAGACUCCUACGGGAGGCAGCAGUAGGGAAUCUUAGACAAUGGGGGAAACCCUGAUCUAGCCAUGCCGCGUGUGUGAUGAAGGCCUUAGGGUCGUAAAGCACUUUCGCCAGAGAUGAUAAUGACAGUAUCUGGUAAAGAAACCCCGGCUAACUCCGUGCCAGCAGCCGCGGUAAUACGGAGGGGGUUAGCGUUGUUCGGAAUUACUGGGCGUAAAGCGCACGUAGGCGGAUUAGUAAGUUAGAGGUGAAAUCCCAGGGCUCAACCCUGGAACUGCCUUUAAUACUGCUAGUCUUGAGUUCGAGAGAGGUAAGUGGAAUUCCAAGUGUAGAGGUGAAAUUCGUAGAUAUUUGGAGGAACACCAGUGGCGAAGGCGGCUUACUGGCUCGAUACUGACGCUGAGGUGCGAAAGUGUGGGGAGCAAAUAGGAUUAGAUACCCUGGUAGUCCACACCGUAAACGAUGAAUGCCAGACGUCAGCAAGUAUACUU